rnacentral:rRNA from 1 species
GUCUCAGUUCGGAUUGAAGGCUGAAAUUCGCCUUCAUGAAGCCGGAAUUGCUAGUAAUGGCAGGUCAGCAUACUGCCGUGAAUACGUUCCCGGGGCCUUGUACACACCGCCCGUCACACCAUGAGAGUUGGAGAUACCCGAAGCCUGUGAGCUAACAAACGAGGCAGCAGUCGAAGGUAGAAUCAAUGAUUGGGGUGAAGUCGUAACAAGGUACC